rnacentral:rRNA from 1 species
GUAUUGAAGAGUUUGAUCAUGGCUCAGAUUGAACGCUGGCGGCAGGCCUAACACAUGCAAGUCGAACGGUAACAGGAAGCAGCUUGCUGCUUUGCUGACGAGUGGCGGACGGGUGAGUAAUGUCUGGGAAACUGCCUGAUGGAGGGGGAUAACUACUGGAAACGGUGGCUAAUACCGCAUAACGUCGCAAGACCAAAGAGGGGGACCUUCGGGCCUCUUG